rnacentral:rRNA from 1 species
UACGUAGGGUGCGAGCGUUGUCCGGACGUUCACUGGGUGGUAAAGGGAAGGCGCAGGCGGGUUGGGUCAAGUCAUUGGUGAAAUUACUCAGGCUCAACUUGGGGACGUGCCAAUGAUACUGCUGAUCUUGAGUACGGGAGGGGAAGACGGAAUUCCUGGUGUAGCGGUGAAAUGCGUAGAUAUCAGGAAGAACACCGGUGGCGAAGGCGGUCUUCUGGCCCGUUACUGACGCUCAUGCUCGAAAAGCGU